UUGUUGGAGAACAAACAGGAGAACAAACAUCAGGACAGGGCUGCAGAAGAGAAAUACGACUGUACAUCAGGUCAACUAAAAGAGGAAUUAAAUAAAAACGCUUCUGAUAUCUGUAAUAAGAUGAGACUCCUCAGUGUGAAGUCGCAGCUUUGCAAAGACAAACAGAGAGAAAGAGAGACAGAUUUCAUUGGAAUGGUUCACAGAUACUGUCAGGAAACAAACUGCUGCCAUUCAUACAUUGAAGAGAGGAGAUGUGGUCCACCUCAUGAGCGUCAAUUUUUCUACAUAUUAAUGAUAGACAAAAAGUACUACCCUGAGGGUGAGGGUAAGACUGCCAAGGAAGCCAAACAAAAUGCAGCUCGGCUAGCCUGGUCUGCUCUCCAAGAACAGUCAGACUUUGACAGCAAGGUAUUUCAUGUUUUUUUACUCCCUUUAUAUCAUGAAAUACACACUCACUUGCCAGUUUAUUAUACAAACUAACAAAGUCUAAUACAACAGUCCUGCCACAAAUACUACCUUCACAAAGGCCAUAAUGUACAGGUUUUAUUGAAACUGUUUUAUAUCACAAUCUUAAAAGCUGUGAUAAUAAAUAGAAAAAUCCAAUUUCUGUAAAUGCAAUACCAACUACUUGUGAUCUCA